rnacentral:misc_RNA from 1 species
UUUCCGUAGGUGAACCUGCGGAAGGAUCAUUCACAAUAAGUGUUUCACGGCAUUCUUUAAACAACCCAUAUUCACCUUGUGUGCUACGUUAUGAGACCCCCCAUCGCUAUCUCCUAGGUUUAGGUAGGGGGAACCCCGACACCUUACAAACAACCUUUUAAACUGAUUUGACUGUACAUUUGUUAUCUCGAAUUAACUUAAUUAAAACAUUCAACUAUCAACAACGGAUCUCUUGCCUCUAGCAACAAUGAAGAACGCAGCAGAAUGGAAGAGCAGAAC